rnacentral:lncRNA from 1 species
GAGCAAUUAGCAUAGUGACUGCUGUGGUGCUAGUUAUGGGAAGAUUAAGAGUCUGGACAUGAGUGGAAAGGAGGAUACAUGCUGAGGGAAACAUUUAGAAUUUGGUGACUUAGUGUAAAGGACCUUCCCUCCUCCCAACCUCUUGAAAGCACUUAAUUUAAUUCUCAGGACUGAAGUAAAAAGCAAACAAACCAACAACUAGAGGAGACAGGAGUGACUGACUGAGAAGGGCUAGCAUCUGCAAACAAGUAUAGAGGCUAGAGAGCGAGCGACCUGGAAGGGAACUACCUGCUCAAAGCACACCACAGAACACUUUCUUCUCUCAUUCUGCUUUAGAAGACAAAUCAAGUUCUUUUUCAUCCAGUGAGGAUUCCAGAAUAUUCUAUUCUUCAACCCAUUGAACUUCUGAAAACAUUUCUUUUAUAAUUUUUUUUAAGGCAGGGUUUCUCUCUGUACCCUUCACUCUCUUGGAACUCACUCUGUAGACCAGGCUGGCCUUGAACUGAGGGGUCCACCUGCCUCUGCCUCCUGAGUGCUGGAAUUAAAGGUGUGCAGCACCACCUUUUCCCUUUCUAAUCUUUUAGAUAGAGGCUGGGAAUAUAGCUCAAUUUGUAGAAUGCAGUAUAUGCCAAGCCUCAUUUGAUCCCCAGUACCAGAUAAAACUCUGCUAGGUGUUACACACUUGUAAUCCCACUACGUAGCCUCAUUCCAACUAGUCUGGGCUAUAUGAGACCCUAAUUCAAACAAAAAAGAUAAAAUCUUGAGUGAAAGAGGAAGGCUUUUUGUUUGUAUGAUCAGUACAAACUGUGAUACUUUGGUUUGCUUCCCUGCAAACAGGAUUCCCAUUUCCUAAACCCAAUGUGGUAUCCAGGUUGAAUCAAGGAGAGCCAUGAUCUCAGAUCUGCUUAGCUCCAAGGACAAGGAUGUCUCAAAAGGCAACAGCACAGGAGCCAGUCCAUUACCAUCCAAGAGAGAGAGAAUCAGCGGGGUGGAACAGGAUCACUGGGUCUUUGAUGACCAGAAGGUGGUGGGUGUGCACUGGAGCUACAAAGAGACUAGAACACUCCUCGCAAUUCUCAGUCAGACUGAAUUUUAUGAAGCUGCCACAGGAACAGCCAAGUGUAUGGGGCUAUAGCUGAGAGGCUUCGUGAGUAUGGUUUCCUCCAUAUGUUUCCCUGGAACAGUGUCGGACCAAGUUUAAAGGCCUUCAGAAGAGCUACAGGAAGGUCAAGAGUGGUCAUCCACCAGAUACCUGCCCCUUCUUUGAAGAGAUGGAAGCCCUGAUGAGUGCCCAGGUCAUUUCAUUGCUCAUUAAUGGCCUAGAAGAGGCCACCUCCCAUCCUGGCCAGGCAGGCAGUGACGCUGAGACUGAAGAGCCAGGGCAGAGGAACUGGCAGCAUGAAGACGGAGAAGAGGCUAUAGCUGAAAGGUCGGACAGUGAUGACCUGGAGGCAACCCCUCAGGACCCUGACAGCCCACCUGCAUCUGUCCUGUUCCGAAGCCCAAGUGGUAAGAAGCUUUUCUUGGGUUUUGGGAUUAGGUUUGAGGAGCAAUGAAACUGGAUGUGGAACCAGCCAUUGUCACUUGCCAGCUUGGCCAUUUUAAUAGGAAGCAAGGUGUUUCUCAACUCUGUAUUGUUUUCUCUUCUGUGAACAAAUCAUGAGAUAAUAGGAAGAGGAUAGAUUCCUUUUUCUCUCUUUUUUAGUGCUUGGAAUCAAACCUGGAGCCUUACACAAUGUUAGGCAAACACUACACCAUCGAGCUACAUCUCAAAUUUCAAUUUUAAUUUUUCAAAGAAAUAUAUCCAAAUAAAGUGUGUUCAAAGGGU